CUCUGGGGCAUCAGAUUAUUUUCGCACUUGCGGAAGGAACUGACGGAAACUGAAGUCACAUGGAGAACAAGCUGCUCAGCGACUCAGCACUCACCGAGAGCAGGCAUCUCAGAGGGAACUGCCGCCGCGGCUCCUGUUCUCCGAAAACUUACCAUCUAGUAGAGGAGCAAAAGAUUUGCCGUGUUGGCCGAAUGCAGAAUGAGUAAUGCAAACAAGCACUGGGGAGUCAGAGCCAGGAUCUCCAGUUCUGCUCUGUCCCAUCAGAUCUGGAGAGCUGAAGUGUCCUGGAGGGCUGGCUCGCAUCUCUUGUAGCCUGGGGAUCUGUGAUUCUGUAUUGCAUUAUUAUUGCCCUCAUGUCAAUCCUAAGAGAACAGGAGCAAGUGGAAGGACAUGCCCCAAACAUCCAGUCUGGAAUGCUCUUCCUCUUCCCCAGGCAGCCAAACAGCUCACUCCCUAACUUCCUUGAGGCCGCUGCUCAAAUGUCACCUCCUCAAAGAGGCCUGGAAAUCCUGGCUGUAUCAACCUAUGACAAAAGAUCUGAUGUACAAAGAGAAGCAGAUGCUCAGAGAAGUAUAAUGUCAGUGCCAUCUACAAUGGCACACAUCCCCAAUACCUUUCCCUUACUUUCCGUUUUCUUCAGAAUAUUUUUUUUUAUUCACGUCACUGGCCGAUCUUAUUCUAUCUUUAUUUGCUAAUGGUCUGCCUCCCCAACUAGACUCUGUCCUCUCAAGGGAAAGAAAUUUGCUUAUUAACUGCUGUAUCCCAGUGCCCGGAACAGAACCUGACACAUACUGGGUGCUCAUACAUUUGUGUGGACUACAUGAAUGAGUGAAUGAGUGCUCUUCAAAAGAAAAGUUUCAGCAGAGUCAUGUGUUGUCACGUGUUAGUUAAUUAGUGACUAGGUGUAUGAAUAUAAGCACAGGGAGGGACAAAUGCUCUUUGAAGAACGAAGGUCAUGCAUUCAUGCAUAGAAAAUAAACUUACGGUUACCAAAGGGGAAACGGUGGGGGAGGGAUAAAUUAGGAGUUUGGGUUUAACAUAUACACCCUACUGUAUAUAAAAUAGAUAAGCAGCAAGGACCUACUGUAUAGCCCAGGGACCUCUACUGGAUAUACUGUAAUAAUCUAUAGUGGAAAAGAAUCCAAAAUAUAUAUGCGUAACUGAAUCACUUUACUGUACACCUGAAACAAACACAACAUUGUAAAUCAAC